AUGGAGAAUGACCAUGGAGAUGGGGAUGAUCUGGGAUCAGGGUGGUUUGAAGUGAAAAAGAAACAUCGAUCCAGCUCGAAAUUCACAUUGCAGAGGUCUUCAGGAAGUUCCACCCAUAAAACUCCAAACUCUUCAUCACGGUCUCAGGCCAACUACAGUAGUGGCAGUUCAAGGUGGUAUGACAGGCUGCAGUACCCACAUCAGAGCACAAAUGAUAACCUUGCCGUUGAUGAAUUGGAUAGUAGAGAAACAACUAAAGUUCAGCAUGAGGAAUGUGUUGAUGUAGGUGCUAGUAACCUGAAGAAUGGAUUUAAUGUUUCAGCUUCAGAGCAUGUAGUAAAAAAAUGUGAAGAACUGCAGUUGGCUGAAGAAACAAUUGAUCCUCCCAAAACUGGCAUGAUUGAUCGCACAGAUCAUUCAGUGCCUCAUGAAUCUCCCAACUGUUCAAGUGAUCUUGCAAAAUCUGUAGAAGAUUCUGAUCAUGUCAAAGACCCUCCAAAGACAGAGCUAGUAGGUGUUUUGCCCAACUCUUCUGUCAAGUUUGGAAAUUUUGAUGAUGUCACAGGUCUAGCAUUACCCUCAGAUGCCUUCAGAGAUGAUAAUUCUUCUACAGAGUACAUGGAUGAUGAAGAUACUACACAAUUCAGAAAUGAAUUAAAAGAUGAAAGUGAACUUGAAGAUGAGAUGAAUUCUAUAAGAAAUGCUGAUACAUCUCCUAUCACAAUUCAUGCAGUGGAGACACCCACUGAAUGUAAUAGAAAUCCAUUGGAUAUAUGUGAAAUACAAGAUAGUCCUGUAGUUGUUAGUGGUUCAACUACCUUAGCUGACUCUGUCUCCCUGUCCUCAAAUAAUGAUCUUGAAGUUCCAGUUACAUCUUCCUCGGUUGCGCCCAUAGAAAGCCAAACAUUACUUCCUAACCACACAACGGUUUCUGUAGAUCUUGGAGGUGAAACUGCUGAGAGCAAAGAAAGAUUCAGGCAGAGGCUUUGGUGUUUUCUUUUUGAGAAUCUGAAUAGGGCUGUGGAUGAACUGUACCUCCUCUGUGAAUUAGAAUGUGACAUGGAGCAAAUUAAUGAAUCCAUACUCGUUCUUGAUGAAGCUAUAUCUGAUUUUCAAGAACUAAAGUCCAGGGCAGAACAUUUUGAUAACACCAAGAAGUCUCCUAGCUUACCAAAGGAAGGGGUACCAAUGGCUGUCAAAGCCGAUCAUCGAAGACCUCAUGCAUUGUCUUGGGAGGUCAGACGAAUGACAAGUUCACCACACAGGCAAGAGAUAUUGUCUUCAUCUCUAGAGGCCUUCCAGAGAAUUCAGUUCGAACUGGCACGCAAGCAGGCUGGUAUAACAGCAGAGAGCUUUGCACCUAGCUCUUCUGGGGAAGUUUCAGGUAUUUCAGCAAAGCUGACUACAGCAUCAGCAACAGUUGGGAAUAUCAGUUUGAAAGUGGAGAGUCAGGUGAAACUUUCUGAUGAUAGUGAGAAAGAAGUUACUGAAGAGAGACAAAGUAAGGAGGCAUUGAAGUCAGGUAGAUCAUUCCCACAAAGUAAUCCUUCAUUUUCUGCAAGGAGUAGAAGAGGGGCACUAGAACCAAUGUCUGAGAUAGCUAAACACACUUCUAAGGAUAGGGUAAUGGCAGAGAACAAAAAGUCAACAGAUAUUGUGAAAAGGAGUACGACCCAUCUUGAAAAGGAGAAGCAAAAUACAGCACAGUGGAAAUCGAUGGAUGCCUGGAAGGAAAAAAGAAACUGGGAAGAUAUACUGAAAUCUCCUGUUCGGAGUUCCCGUGCCUCUCAUUCUCCUGGUGUUGGCAGAAAAGUAAGAGAACGUGGACGUGUUCUACAUGACAAGUUAAUGUCUCCCGAAAAGAAGAAAAGAAGUGCUUUUGAUACGAAAAGAGAAGCAGAAGAAAAGCAUGCGCGAGCUUUGCGGAUCAGGAGUCAACUGGAAAGUGAGAGAGUUCAGAGACUACAACGUACCACUGAAAAGUUAAGUCGUGUAAAUGAAUUGCAGGCUGUGCGCAGCUCAAAACUGCGAGAAGUAAUGAAUGCACGUCAUCAACGUGGUGAAUCUCGUCAUGAAGCAUAUCUAGCCCAGGUUGCGAAAAGAGCUGGUGAUGAGAGCACUAAGGUCAGUGAGGUUCGCUUUAUUACAUCACUGAACGAUGAAACUAAGAAAUUUUUGCUGAGGCAGAAACUUCAUGAUUCUGAAAUGCGGAGAGCUGAAAAGCUACAGGUGAUCAAAACAAAGCAGAAGGAGGACACUGCAAGGGAAGAGGCUGUGUUGGAACGAAGAAAGUUCCUUGAAGCUGAGAAAAUGCAGCGCCUUGCUGAAAUACAGCGUAAGAAAGAAGAAGCUAUAGUCAGAAGAGAAGAGGAGCGCAAAGCAUCUAGUGCUGCACGAGAAGCGAAGAGCGCAGAGCAACAACGAAGAAAAGAGAUAAGAGCUAAAGCGCAACAAGAGGAAGCUGAACUUUUAGCACAAAAACUAGCUGAAAAGCUCCGUGAAAGUGAGCAGCGCCGGAAGUUUUACCUUGAACAAAUACGUGAGAGAGCUUCAAUGGAUUUUAGGGAUCAGUCUUCACCUUUUCAGCGUCGCUUCCCAAGUAAAGAUAGCCUAAACCGUUCUACGUCAGCUAAUAGUGGCGAAGAUUCACAGAUAGUAGGCAAUGCCAGCACUGCAGAGUCUAUGGUUAAAACAUCCAAUGCCACACAAAUGAAACGAAAGAUUAAGAAGAUUCGUCAGAGAUUAAUGGCUCUCAAGCAUGAAUUUGUUGAACCAGCCAUAGGUGAAAACACAGGAAUUGCACACAGGGCUGCUCUAGGAGCUGCCAAAGGUAAGUUAAGUAGAUGGCUUCAGGACUUGCAAAGACACCGUCAAGCUAGAAAAGAAGGUGCUGCGAGCAUUGGUUUGAUUGUUGGUGACAUGACGAAGUUCUUAGAAGGAAAGGAUCUCGAACUGCAUGCUACUAGACAAGUUGGUUUGCUUGAUUUCAUUGCGUCUGCUUUACUUGCCUCACACACUUCAAGACCAGUAGCUUGUGAAGUCACUGUUUACCUUUUGCGCCUGCUUAGAGUGUUACUCUCACUUCCAGCUAAUCGGACUUAUUUUCUAGUACAAAAUCUUUUACCUCCGAUUAUUCCCAUGCUAUCUGCAUCACUAGAGAAUUACAUUAAGGUGGCAGCAUCAAACUCUGGAAGUUUGAAUCUUCCGUUAAGUAAAACUACAGAGAACAUGGAGACAGUUGGUGAAGUUUUAGAUGGUUUUAUAUGGACUGUAACCGUCAUUGUUGGUCACUUAUAUGUUGACGACGAACAACUCAAAAUGCAGGAGGGUCUGAUAGAACUGAUUGUAGCUUAUCAAACAAUUCACCGUCUGCGAGAUCUUUUUGCCCUUUAUGAUAGGCCCCAGGUGGAAGGGUCCCCACUCCCAUCAUCCAUACUAUUUGGUCUCAAUCUUCUGACUGUCUUGACAUCCAAACCAGGGAACUUUUCUGCCAUUGAUUGGGAGUCCUGCAAAUGCAGAACUCCAGCUGGUAAUCUAGCUCACGAAUGUGAGUAUCUUAGUUCACUAGACAUACGAGUUGGCAACCAGCUGAUGGCACCGGACGAGUCUGGAGAUGCCAAAUUACCAUCUAACACUUGUGAUAUUUCGAAAUGUGAUGACUGUGGGUUUAGUGAAGUGGUUGAAGAAAACAAGCCCACCGAACAACAUGAAGGUUCCGCUCUAGGAGAUAGAAGAUCACUGGAUGAAACUAGAAAAGGCUUGUUAGACCUCUCUGCUGGCCAGAAUAACUCAGGGUCUGUGUUAGAAAUACAAUCGUCAAAUCUGGGAGAUACAAUAGAUCAACAUUUUGAAGUUUCCACUCAGAGAAAUGAAAAUAGUACCGUGGACGGUCACCUUGAAGGAAGAAAGAUGAAUAACAUAUGUACAGAAAUGAAUGACAGUCCUGGAAAAGGCAAUGAAAUAAACCUGAAACAACCUGCAGUGCUUGUACUUUCUGCCAUGGCUGAGACAGGCCUGGUUAGUCUGCCUUCACUGUUGACAGCUGUGUUGCUGCAGGCAAACAACAGGUCGUCAUCCGACCAGGCUUCAGCGAUUCUUCCAUCAAAUUUUGAAGAAGUAGCCACUGGUGUAUUGAAAGUUUUGAACAAUGUGGCAUGUUUGGAUAUCACUCUUCUGCAGUGUAUGCUGGCUAGAUCAGAUCUGAAGAUGGAAUUCUUUCAUUUGAUCAGUUUUCUGCUGAAUCAUUGCAUGAAUAAAUGGGGAGUACCAAAUGAUCAGGUCGGUUUACUGCUUCUAGAAUCGAUACUGCUUCUUGGCUACUUCUCUUUGUUCCAUCCCGGGAAUCAAGCAGUUCUUCGAUGGGGUAAGAGCCCCACAAUACUUCAUAAGGUGUGCGACCUGCCUUUUGCUUUCUUCAGCGACCCAGAGCUGAUGCCCAUCUUGACUACUGCUCUCAUUGCCGUCUGCUACGGCUGUGAUCAGAAUAGAAGUGUGGUACUUCAAGAAAUAAGCUCAGAUAUGAUCGGUACUUUGCUUAGGUCCUGCAGAGCGUCAGUGCUGGCCACUUCAGAUUCCGUCGCCGUGGAUGGUUCUGGAGCCAAUAAUUCCGGUGACAGCACUCAUAUCUUGCCGGACAUCAGAAACUCACUAUCUGACAUGUCGAUACGGUCAAGCCGCAAAGGUGCGCGACCAGUGUUAGGAAAAGGCAUUUCAGGGGCCAUCAAGUUAAACAGAAACAAGAAUCAAAAGGAUGGUAGAGGAGUACGAGCUGGUGAUGAUGGGGGGCCCUUGAAGCAAAGGGCCGGAGAAGCUUCAUCUGCUUUUAUGUUGCAUAGGAAAAUCCCGGCUUUCUUCUUUGAGAAAGCAGAAGAGUUCUUCUGCGGCGGUGCAUAG
rnacentral:rRNA from 1 species